rnacentral:misc_RNA from 1 species
UCUCAACAUACAAACCCUUCAACAACUCUUUAGACAGAUUCAGAUCCUCAAAAGUACUAGCUGAUGUAUACGGAGUUUCACCGGUUGUCACCGCUGUGAUGUCAGAGUCAAUGGGUUCUUCAAGCGUUGUUUCGUCUUGAAUUUUAAGGGAUUCCAAGUACUCCGUAGGUGCAGAGGAUGAAUCUCCAGCAUCACCCACAUCAUCAUCUUCUUCAUCGCCCCAAGCUCGCUUGGGCACUGGCGUAACUACGGGUGGGGCAGAAAUCGCGUCAUUGGUGGCGGUGGCGGUGGCAG